GGCCCGGUAGUCCAGUGGUUAGCACGUGGGCUUCACAGUGCAGAGGUACCGGGUUCGAUUCCAGCUCCGGCCUCCCUGUGUGGAGUUUGCAUGUUCUCCCCGGGCCUGCGUGGGUUUUCUCCGGGUGCUCCGGUUUCCUCCCACAUUCCAAAAACAUGCGUGACAGGCUGAUUGAACACUCUAAAUUGUCCCUAGGUGUGAGUGUGAGUGCGAAUGGUUGUUCGUUUCUGUGUGCCCUGCGAUUGGCUGGCAACCGAUUCAGGGUGUCCCCCGCCUACUGCCCGAAGACGGCUGGGAUAGGCUCCAGCACCCCCCGCGACCCUAGUGAGGAUCAAGCGGUUAGGAAGAUGAAUGAAUGAAUGAAUGAAUAAAUUGUUCUUUUUUUGGG